rnacentral:tRNA from 1 species
GGAAGCGACCGGGGCCCGGUGGCCCUCCCGGUCUUCAAAAUCGGCGCUGCCUGCCAACGCGGGCGGGAUAGGUUCGACUCCUAUACGCUUCCGCCA